CAAGGGAAGCAAAACUAGACAUACUGACAUGAGACACAGACCUUUAAAGUAAAGAUGGAAAUACAACAGCUAGCUCUGUGCCAAUUUUUGUUUCUUGGAGGCCCUUAAAUGUUGGGAGUAAAAAAUGGAGAAAAGAUAAAGUGGAAGUUGAUGAGCUGAUUGAGGCUGCAGGUCGUGUGGAGUAUCAGGACAACAUGAAGAAGAAUGACUCAGGAGGAUACACAUUCAGAUUCAACAAAGAUCAUGAAGGAUGGACACGGUCUGAUCUGCCUGGAGUCUUUUUGAUUGUUACAGUGAUGAUCUUUUGUUUCUCCAUCAGAAUAAAGGUGGAUGUUUGGCCUUCAGCCUUUUCUGUCUCACAUCAUAACUUCCUGUAACCUCCUCGUCAGCGUCACUCACCACCGACACCUGAUCAUGUCUGAACUUUUGCAUGUUUUUAUUUGCCUCACACAGUUAUUCUAUAAAUUGCAGUGUGAAGCCACGUUAUGACUCACUGUGAGUCGCAUGUUAUUUUUUAUCUUAAGAAAUUUCUUUUAUCAUAUUGUAAUUUUAUUUUAUUGCCCUAUAUACCAUUUUACAUAUUUAAGUUAUUUUGUAUUUAAAUGUAAUUAAUUAUUUAUUUAUUUUAAUUUUAACUGCUAUUAGAAAUGUCUUGUCUUCAUAUCUAUUCAUGGCAUACGAUUUGAUAGGCGCUGUACAUUUUGAAUUUUUACAAAACCUGCAACACUUUCAAAUUACCAGCAUUUUCUUUAAUUGAAUGAGAUGAAAAUAAAUCUUGAGUGUUAAAUAAUUCUGUGCUUUUAUUGUUUGUCUAUUUGUCUCAUAUAUGGAAAGUUUUUAGCUCAUGCGGCAGAGCAGGAUGAUCAUCACUAUAGCAUCUAUCUUCAGUGAGAACAACACAGCUGGUCUCUGCUCCACCAUCGAGCCACUGCCCCAUCACUAAAGAAUAGUUUGUUACCAUAGUGGUUAAAAGGGACCUUUUUCUGAUCGGUUUCGUGGCUGGAAAAUCUUCAUUUUUAUAGCAGAAACACCUCAGCUGGAGUGUUUGUCAGUGGUUUUC
ensembl:lncRNA